CGCUGGCGGCGUGCCUAAACACAUGCAAGUCGAGCGCGAAAGGAGCAAUCCGAGUAGAGCGGCGCACGGGUGCGUAACACGUGGAUAAUCUGCCCUUGAAUUCGGGAUAACCUUCCGAAAGGUUGGCUAAUACCGGGGUAAGCUCACGGUGACUUCGGUCGCUGUGGGAAAAGUAGACCUCUGUUUACAAGUUUACGUUUGAGGAUGAGUCCGCGGCCCAUCAGCUAGUUGCGGGGUAAUGGCCCACCAAGGCUACGACGGGUAGCUGGUCUGAGAGGACGAUCAGCCACACUGGAACUGAGACACGGUCCAGACUCCUACGGGAGGCAGCAGUGGGGAAUUUUCCACAAUGGGCGAAAGCCUGAUGGAGCAACGCCGCGUGUGUGAUGAAGGUCUUCGGAUCGUAAAGCACUUUCGACCGGGACGAAAAACCUCUGGCUAACAUCCAGGGGCCUGACGGUA
rnacentral:rRNA from 1 species